rnacentral:rRNA from 1 species
UACGUAGGGUGCGAGCGUUAAUCGGAAUUACUGGGCGUAAAGCGUGCGCAGGCGGUUCGUUGUGUCUGCUGUGAAAGCCCCGGGCUCAACCUGGGAAUGGCAGUGGAAACUGGCGAGCUGGAGUGUGGCAGAGGGGGGUGGAAUUCCUGGUGUAGCGGUGAAAUGCGCAGAUAUCAGGAAGAACACCCGUGGCGAAGGCGGCUCUCUGGGACGGUACUGACGCUGAGACGCGAAAGCGUGGGGAGCGAACAGG